rnacentral:rRNA from 1 species
AGCGAACGCUGGCGGCGUGCCUAACACAUGCAAGUCGAACGUGAACGGGGGCAACCCCUAGUAAAGUGGCGUACGGGUGAAUAACGCGUAGGCAAUCUACCCCAAAGUCUGGAAUAACCUGCCGAAAGGCGGGCUAAUACUGGAUAGAGCGACGGAAUCCGUAAUUGGGUUUUUCGGGAAAGGGAGGGAGCAAUCCCCCUUGCUUUGGGAUGGGCCUGCGUCCCAUCAGCUAGUUGGUAAGGUAACGGCUUACCAAGGCGAUGACGGGUAGCUGGUCUGAGAGGAUGAUCAGCCACACUGGAACUGAAACACGGUCCAGACUCCUACGGGAGGCAGCAGUGGGGAAUCUUGCGCAAUGGACGAAAGUCUGACGCAGCCACGCCGCGUGAGUGAAGAAGGCCUUCGGGUUGUAAAGCUCUGUCGGAGGGGACGAAAAUGCUUAGGGUUCACAGCCCUAGGAACUGACGGUACCCUUAAAGGAAGCACCGGCUAACUCUGUGCCAGCAGCCGCCGUAA